GACCUCGUAGCUCAGCUGGUAGAGCAUUGGACUGGCAAACCUGCAAAAGUCGGGGGUUCGAUUCCCACCGCGGUCA